rnacentral:rRNA from 1 species
CCUACGGGAGGCAGCAGUGGGGAAUAUUGGGCAAUGGGCGCAAGCCUGACCCAGCAACGCCGCGUGAAGGAAGAAGGCCCUCGGGUUGUAAACUUCUUUUAUCAGGGACGAAACAAAUGACGGUACCUGAUGAAUAAGCCACGGCUAACUACGUGCCAGCAGCCGCGUUAAUACGUAGGUGGCAAGCGUUAUCCGGAUUUACUGGGUGUAAAGGGCGUGUAGGCGGGAGAGCAAGUCAGACGUGAAAUUCCAGGGCUCAAACCUGGAACUGCGUUUGAAACUGUUCUUCUUUAGGGAUGGAGAGGAAGGCGGAAUUCGGGGUGUAGCGGUGAAAUGCGUAGAUAUACGGAGGAACACCAGUGGCGAAGGCGGCCUGCUGGACAUUAACUGACGCUGAGGCGCGAAAGCGUGGGGAGCAAACAGGAUUAGAUACCCUAGUAGUC